GAAAGAAAAGUUAGUGAAAGCUGAAAAAGAAAUGUUAAUACAAAAUUGAAUUGAAAAUUUGAACAACUAAGGACUUAGAAAAAUCAAACCCAUAAAUAUUUAUAAUUGAAAGGCCAAAACCAAAUAACCAAAGCCAAUAUUCCUCCACCUCCACUGCCAUAAGAAAAGACAGCAACCACACAUCGGCAACAGGUGAUGGAUCACGGGGUACCCUUAAUCAAUUCAGAACAAGGGGUGCCACGGUUGGAGCGGGCAAUGUCCUGAGGCUCCGUGAAGCUGGUUGAUUUAUGUUUUUUUGUCACUUGCCAGAGGGUUGGAUUGGCAAAAGAAUCGCGCCCGACAGACUGAGCCGAAAGCCGGUGCUCAAAUGCCAGCAACCAGCGCCCGCCAGUCCUACAACUUACUCCGAUGGUAAGGGACACUUGGGUCCAAGACAAAUGUGUUACAUGCUCGUUGGAUGCCCUCCAUGCCCAGAAGGAACAAUAAUAAUAUGGAGCCAAGAACCUUUGCUAAUGUCGCUAAGGACAGCUUGGUGAUGAUAGUUGUCGAAAAACGAGAAAAACGGGGCUGCAUAACUAGGAACAUUUGGAGUGGGGUAAUCAAUGGACUGUCAUCUUGUAUUCUCCGAUGUCUUUGCGGAAAUGCCUGGGCCACCUCCAGUUUGCGACGAUGCAGGCCGAUACAAAUUAAUUCCUUUCGGGGAUAAACGCUCAGCUUAAAUGUAUCGUGGUGGAUUGGAUGAGACUGACGGCGAUCAGAGACAUGUAGUAUUCGUACUAAACUACGACUGUCUCGCAGACCUUAAAAAGUCUGAAUGAGUUCUAUCCUACGAAAUCAACAAGUUGAGACUAGAGGUAUAAGAAGCGGUGUGGUUGCCGAAUCAGUCUGAGGAACUAUCAACCACAUCUCUAAAUCAUGGCGAAUUGUAGGCAACUGAAAAUUCCCCUGGAAAACGGGACAAGCCCUGUGUGUGUGUGGUCAUCCGGUUGGUUUGGG